ensembl:lncRNA
UCAGGUAUAGUAACAGUAUAUACCACUGUUUUAGUUUCUCUUAUUGCUUUAUUUUAUUUCAUUAUUACUAUUUAUUAAUUUAACCAAUGCUGCUACUUAUUUGUACUUAUUUUUUUGCAUAUUUUUUUUACAAGCUUUCAUUUUUACUUAUCUUUACUUAAUUUGCUGCUAUGUGGUUGUUGAGGAACCAAGCCUUAGAAUUGUACUCGUGUAUACUUGUACAAUAAGAUGCAAUAAAAGUAAUUCUGAUUCUAAAAAUAAAUAAAAACAAACUCCCUUUGUGUCCCAGUGCUCAGUGGAACCCAGUGGUGGGUUUACUGGAAACGUUUUGGGACCCGUUAGGCUGUUUCUGACUCAGAUCUCAGAUAAGCAGGAAGCAGGCUGUUUAGACGAACUCAAUCAUAUCUUGUUUAAAACAAUAAUAAAAAAAAGUUUUUGAGCUCAUGUAUCAAACGCAAAAAGGUACAGCCUACAGGCCAUGGUUAACGUUGCAAUCAGAUAUUUAAAAAAAAGCUGUCGAAUACCCGGAAGGAGACAUCACCCAGUUCUGUGUCCCCUAUGUGUUAAAGUAACAGUUUUCGUUUAAUCAUUACUCUUUAUUGCAACUCAAAAAAAUCCAAUAGGUUAUAUGACCCCAUGUCUUUACAGGCAGUGUUAUGCUGAUGGUGAUGAUGAUGGUAAUAAUAUGUGGUGGCCCCCCCGCCGCUCCGUUGUAAGGCUAAUUCACUGUUGCUCCUGGCAGCGGAAAGGGGGAAUUGACCUGCCCACUCCGAAUGCAAAUGCCAAGUCCUGCGCAUUGGAUAUUUAUUCAAGCCACAAAUCCACGUUUGGUUACUCUUUAUUCCAGGCGUUUUUUGUAAAGAUGGUACAAUUUUAAAGUAACACACACGCAACCACGCAUGUUGGGGUGCUUCCGUUUACCCUGCCUGUAAAGUCCUCGACCAUUAAACAUCUGGUCAUCGAUUGAGCGACGGUCAGGUCAAUGGCCCCUUUGAGUCACCUUACUGAUCUAACCAGGCAAGUACAGUACAGAUACUCUCCCGAGGGUACUUUCAGCAUGACGGGGUUUAAAUUAACUAAAAACACUAUUUAUGAUUUUCUCUGUGCAUGGAUAUCAGCCAUAUGUCAUAAACGACACCCUUUAUUUUCUCUUCCAAAUAAUCCUAUCUAACUUGUUGUUUUUGUAGUCGCACCGUAUGCCUAUGGGCUAUUGGGCUACGUGUUUUUAAUGCGUAGGGGAAUAAACGUGGUCUAACUUUGCAACACAAUAUGGGCAAUACAAUUUUUUUUUCAAACACCAUGGCUAUAUUAUUUUGCAUUACAAACUAGCCUGCCUCGAACAUCUGCCUGUGUCUUUCUUCUAUAACCGGUUCAUCAUGCUGUCUUUAAUUCAUGCCUACUCUCUCCCCACCAUUUGAUGUCUUUGGGGUCCUGUUGUUUUCAAAAGGUCAGCAAAGGGCAGCCUACUGUCCCACUGAAGGACUUGGAUGUAGCAACGUAGAGAAUACGCUGCCACCUGUUAUUUCAACAGCUCGGGGACGUCGUAGAUUCGUCACACACUGCCUUACCUCCACCAAAAAGGCCUGCACACAGCUAGUACCCCCACACCCCCUUACCUCCACCCAAACGGCCUGCAAACACCCCCACCCGCACAUUCAGACAUACACAUCAGGCACACACACACACACACACACACACACACACAUAGAGGCAAACACUGCUAUGCAGCGAGCAGUGUCGGGGGCAGUCUCGGACCCCUACUGUCUUACAAUCGUGAAACCCCACUGGUAAAGCCCCCCCCCCCCCUCCCUGUUUUGGUUGGUCCACCCCCUCCCUGUAGGGGGGUGCUGGGCUGAAGGGGAGGCCUGUAUCCUGGGGAGACAUCUAUUACAGGCCUGGGGGUCAUGCUGAGAGCCGGGGGGAGAGGUCAAAGUCCCUCUUCAAGAUAAAAAAAGUGAGCCUUUCAAACACCCAUGACAAAGAUCAAAACCGGCCACAGAGGAGUCGUGGGUGAUAGUUCCUGUUGAGGGGAGAUAGUUCCUGGGCAUCUCUGAAGUGGCUUUUCUGUGUGUUUGCUUGUUGAUUGUAGUAUUCUAUUGAAUUCAGCCUCUGCUUCCUGUUCUCCUGCCCUGAGCGGAAGACCUAUAGGAUGAGGGCCACGGUGGAGCAGAGGACCAGGCCAGACCCCAGUCCGCAUCCCACUCUGCUCCACUCUUUUGAUUCAGGGUGGCACAGCCACCAGCCAGUACAAUAAGCCCCGCCUCUCUGUCCACCAGCCUAUAGAGCUGUCCAAUGAGGUCACACCUUAAGGAAGGACAAAUAUUUGAUUACUUUCUGUGCUGCCAUUCAAAAUAGUAUGGUUCUUUACCAUCUAACCAUACAGUUGUAGUCUUUCGUGUUGCCCUUUGCAUCAUGGUUGGUGAUACGUUAUCAAUGGGUUUAUAACAAUGGAGAAUCUGUAGGCUAUUCAUAAAGUUGUACUUCUCUGCGGUAACAAAGGGGUUUGUGGGAGUGUUAUAGCUCAACAUGCGUUUGUUAUUUUUACAUAAUGUCACUAACAGGUCCACACUUAUUUCCGAGGAGACUUCACCCUGGGACCAGAACCUAAAUAUUAUUCACCCAGUGCUUUUGUAAACCAACCCCUUAAAAAAAGGAGGUCAAACAUGAAGUGUAUUGUAUGGCUGAGGCUGCCGAGCAGCAGUCUAUGUGGAUUCAGAUUCUCUACGCUAAAGGCAGCCAAAGUGCCAGCCUAGCUCUGUGUGGAAAAACCCUCCAGCACUCUGGAGAAAACACAACCUUCAACAGCUACUUUUGUUUAAUUGUUGUUAGACAUUCAUAUAUAUAUAUAUAUAUUUAAUAAAAAAUCCCUUCUAACGAUACCCAGCCUUGUUUUGCACCCUUUUGUCCAACACCGCAGCGUGUGUGACGAGCCAGACAUCAGUACUCACCGACGUUUGAGCUAUUGCAUCCUCCUCCCUGUAGGCCUGUCCCUACACAAUAACCAGUCAGGCCCCUUUGUUCCACAGAGACCUGGGGGUCCCAGGAUAAGGCGGUCCCCCUGACCACCAGACCCAGAUCACUGGGGGCCGCAGCCUGACCGGGGGUCGUCUCACAUCAUCUAGAGCAAAGCACCAGCCUGUUGUAGUGCAGGAAGAGCAAAGACAACAAACCAUGGCUUAUUAGAGUAGAGUAAACACAUCUUUGUUGCUCACUUGUUGCUUUGUCUUCAUGUUACUGGCCUUCCUGUUUACAAUUCUAACAUAACGAGCCCCUCAGGGCAUUCGAUCUGAUUCAGGGUUCAGUGUGUUUCUGUUUUUAAUGUUGUCCUCAUCGGUCUGCAUGUGGAUUGUCCAUGUAUUAACUGUAAAAUGACCUGUAAAGUGUUUUUGGUACAGACCUGGUUUGUUUUCUAAUGCGAUUUAUUAAUAAAGUAUACAUGAAACUGGUGUGUGUGUAUGUAUGUGUUUGAACAAGGAAUAAGUUCUCAUCUAGUGCAUCCCAUUCCUCCUCCUGCAGCUCAAUAGCGCCAUCCACUGGAUAACUCUUCAGUGGUCCCUGGGCAAAGGAACCCGUGCUCUGUGCUCCGGCCUACACCUAGUAGCCACACAGGGUCGGUGAGCAGGACACCCACAGAGCUACGUCACGGCCAUGCUGACAAGACGCAGCCAGACAAGGAGACUAUACCUUCAUUUGGGUUCCUGUCCUCCUACACCUCCUCCUCUCCUUAAACCGGCUCCUGCUGCCUGUCAUUGGCUGGUAUCCACUAUUCCUCAGAGAGAAAGUGAUUCAUCGACACACCAUCCAUUCUACGUCCCUGGGCGUAUAGCCGUUCUUCAAGGCAUCAAACAUCAACACUGCAGAUUUUCACUAGACAAGCCAAGUAGCUUUGUGUCUUUAUGAAGAGGAAGUGGUUUCCUGUAACACCAUGUAAUACGGGAAGAUCAUAAAUUUCCUUUGCCGUUGGAGCAGAACGAAAAUAAAAAGAUAGACUGCUGUUCUGUGAUCUUCAUCUUCAACGGCUCAAUAUUGUCCGCAUCCUGUUCGCUUCUUUUUCAUUGCCCAUAAGUUAUUUAUUGCUGUCAGGAUGUAA